rnacentral:rRNA from 1 species
CUGGUCUAAGAUAGCCAUGCAUGUCUAAGUAUAAACAAAUCUAUACGUGAAACUGCGAAUGGGCUCAUUAUAAAGUUAUAGUUUAUUUGAUGGUCCUUACUACUUGGAUAACCGUAGUAAUUCUAGAGCUAAUACAUAGCACCAACUUCUGACUCACGAAAGAAGGUAUUUAUUAGAUGGAAACCAAUGCGGGUUCGCCCGGAUUCAGGUGAUUCAUAAUAACUCUCGGAUCGGCUUGCCGAUGCAUCAUUCAAGUUUCUGCCCUAUCAGGUCUGGAUGGUAGGGUAUUGGCCUACCAUGCCUUUAACGGGUAACGGAGAAUUAGGGUUCGAUUCCGGAGAGGGGGCCUGAGAAAUGGCCACCACAUCCAAGGAAGGCAGCAGGCGCGUAAAUUACCCAAUCCUGACACAGGGAGGUAGUGACAAUAAAUAACAUCGCAGGGCUUUUUAAAGUCUUGCGUUAGGAAUGAGAACAAUUUAAACCCCUUAUCGAGGAUCAAU